GUGGCCACGGCUGAAGGGCAACAAGAAUGUGACACUCACCCUGUCUUGGAACAUCAUCCCCAAUGCAGGCAGCCUACCCAACAUCCUGGGCACAGGCAUGCACUCAUUCUCUUUCCCAGUGGAGUACACCACUUCAAGGGUGUAGGGAACUCGGUGGUUGUAAAUUAUAUUUAAUUUCCAGGGAGCAACAGAAUGGAUGGGGAAAUAAAUGGUGUCUUUUUCUAUCAA
rnacentral:lncRNA from 1 species